AGAGUUUGAUCCUGGCUCAGGACGAACGCUGGCGGUGCGCCUUAUGCAUGCAAGUCGAGCGAAGCUUUUCAGUAGUUUACUACAGAAAAUGACUGAGCGGCGAACGGGUGAGUAACGCGUGAGCAAUCUACCUUAGUUACAGGGAUAGCCCGAGGAAACUCGGAUUAAUACCUGAUAUUCUUUAUUUCUCGCAUGAGAAUAAAAGGAAAGGUCAGCCGAACUAAGAUGAGCUCGCGUUCUAUCAGCUAGUUGGUGAGGUAAAAGCUCACCAAGGCUACGACGGAUAGCUGGUCUGAGAGGACGAUCAGCCACACUGGGACUGAGACACGGCCCAGACUCCUACGGGAGGCUGCAGCAGGGAAUAUUGUGCAAUGAACGAAAGUUUGACACAGCGACACCGCGUGUGGGAUGACGGAUCUAGGUUUGUAAACCACUUUCAGGAGGGUAGAAAAUGACGGUACCUCCAUAAGAAGCCCCGGCCAACUACGUGCCAGCAGCCGCGGUAAUACGUAGGGGGCGAGCGUUGUCCGGAUUUAUUGGGCGUAAAGAGCUCGUAGGCGGUUCAACAAGUCGGUCGUGAAAGUUCAGGGCUCAACCCUGAAAUGUCGAUCGAUACUGUUGUGACUAGGAUACGGUAGAGGUGAGUGGAAUUCCGAGUGUAGCGGUGAAAUGCGUAGAUAUUCGGAGGAACACCAAUUGCGAAGGCAGCUCACUGGGCCGCUAUCGACGCUGAGGAGCGAAAGCUAGGGGAGCAAACAGGAUUAGAUACCCUGGUAGUCCUAGCUGUAAACGAUGGAUACUAGACGUAGAACUGGAUUGACGGUUUCUGUGUCGCAGCUAACGCGUUAAGUAUCCCGCCUGGGGAGUACGGUCGCAAGACUAAAACUCAAAGGAAUUGACGG
rnacentral:rRNA from 1 species